UCCGCUUCAGCCGGCCUAGUGCUCUUCCCCCAGCUCGCAGAGUCCAGCUCCAUCCCUAAGAACCCUGGCCCCACAAAGCUCUCCCAGAAUAACCCCAACCCUGCGCCCUGGGCCCUCCUCCUAGAUCUUGAGCCCUCCGGGAAUGGAGAGUUCUGUUUUGGCAAGAGCAAUCUAGAAGAUCAUAGAAAGCUGGUCCAAAUGCUUCAUCUUACAUUUAAGGAAAGAGGUGCAGAAAGGGUAGGACUUGCCUGUCACACAGCUCUGUGGAGGAAGUUGGAUUUUGGGGCACUUCCCCUCAUUCUAGCUAACAGCCACUCUACCUGAAGCUCCUCUCAUUUCUCCUCACCAAUGGAUGGCACACUCACUGAAAACAGCAUUGUAAUACCUGACUCACUGCAGAAGGAUGCUUGGAGAUCCAGUACUACACUGUACUCUUUGCUUUGGAGCCUUUGAUCUACUCAAGAUCAUUGAGAGUGUAUGCCACUUUGGCCUAAGGAUUAUUUUGAGCUGAAGACAAUUAGGAAGAAGCAAAUAGGUACAGGGUACUAGAAAAGCAUUCUGCCUUCCCUUUAUUUGCCAAAAAGCAGGAUAUAAGUUUGCAAAGAUGUACCUCCUGCCUGCUCUAUCAGGAAGGACAAAGAUUAAUCACGAGAGACAAUCGUAGACCCUUGUCAGCCUGGAGACAACACAAGAAGAAUCUACAUGAUAAACUUUAGUGUCUAGCCUUUAUCUGCAACUAGUCUCCCAUAAAUUUGUCUUCCCACAAUUUGCUGCCCCUAGAGACUCAAGGUCCUUUAUCUUGUCAUUUCUCUAAAAAAUUUAUUGUUCCUUUGCUAA